rfam:Schistosoma mattheei strain Denwood, Zambia genome assembly, scaffold: SMTD_contig0002667
AUCCAGCUGACGAGUCCCAAAUAGAACGAAACACGAGUCUUGGAU